UCCCCCAGUAGUGUCUCCCCUGAGCGU
rnacentral:piRNA from 1 species